CACCUUGGCCUCCCAAAGUGCUGGGAUUACAGCUGCUGACACGUCGUGACUCAGCUGUUACCAAUUUCCCUGGAAGCCCUGGAAAGGCCACCCAGGCCCGCUCUCUCACUGGUUUAUGUUGAACUGAUGGGGAGACUGUGGCUUCGAUCAGGGGAAGCCAGCUGCCGUGUUGUGAGGACGCUCAAGCAAUCCUAUGCAGAGGCCCACAUGGUGAGGAACUGAGGCUCCUGCCACCAGCCAUGUGAACGCACCAUCUUGGAAGUGGAUCCUCCAACUCCAUCCAAGCCUUCAGAUGAAGAAGCCCGGACCAACAUCUCAACUGCAGUCUCAUGAGAGACCCUGAGCCAGAACCAUCCACCUAAGAUGCUACCAAAUUCAUGAUCCGUAGAAACAAUGAGAUGAUAAGUGUUUGUUGCAUUGAGCCACUAAGUUUUGUGGAAAUUUGUUACUCAGCAAUAGACAACUAAUAUGAGAGUCGGCUGAGGGUCACAUUCUCAUUCAGUAGUGGGCUUUGUUAACCCUUUGCCUACUGUGGUUCACUUAAUAAAUUCUCGACGAAUAAAGAGUGAAAAUGAGCA